rnacentral:rRNA from 1 species
GAUGGCGACCGGCGCACGGGUGCGUAACACGUAUCCAAUCUGCCCGCGGCUCGGGGAUAGCCCAUCCGGAAAAGAUGGAUUAAUACCCGAUGGCGUGGUCACUCCGCAUGGAGUUUCCACUAAGGAUUUAUUGGUAUAGGAUGGCGAUGCGUGGCAUUAGGUAGUAGGCGGGGUAACGGCCCACCUAGCCGACGAUGCCUAGGGGUUCUGAGAGGAAGGUCCCCCACACUGGAACUGAGACACGGUCCAGACUCCUACGGGAGGCAGCAGUGAGGAAUAUUGGUCAAUGGUCGGAAGACUGAACCAGCCAAGUAGCGUGAAGGAUGAAGGUUCUAUGGAUUGUAAACUUCUUUAUACGGGAAUAAAACCACCUACGUGUAGGUGCUUGUAUGUACCGUAUGAAUAAGCAUCGGCUAACUCCGUG